rnacentral:rRNA from 1 species
CUGGCAGCGUGGAUUAGGCAUGCAAGUCGAACGGGAUCGCCUGGAUAGCAAUAUUCGGGGGUGAGAGUGGCGGAUUGGGGAGGAGCACGUGAGCAACCUGCCCUGGAGAUGUGGAAAACCUCUGGAAACGGAGGCUAAUACAGAAUGUGGCGCCCCAUGGCAUCAUGGGAGCGCCGAAGGGGGCCGCAAGGCUCCCGCUCCGGGAUGGGCUCGCGCACCAUCAGCUAGUUGGCGGGGUAACGGCCCACCAAGGCCUACGGUUAGCUGGUCUGAGAGGAUGACCAGCCCCACUGGGACUGAGAUACUGCCCAGACUCCUACGGGAGGCUGCAGUCGAGGAUCAUUCGCAAUGGACGGAAGUCUGACGAUGCGACGCUGCGUGGAGGAUGAAGGCCUUCGGGUCGUAAACUCCUGUCAUGAGGGAAGAGGCGAGGGAAGCUAAUACCUUCUUUAGUUGACUGUACCUCAAGAGGAAGCGACGGCUAACUCUGUGCCAGCAGCCGC